UCCUACGGGAGGCAGCAGUGGGGAAUAUUCCACAAUGGAGGGAACUCUGAUGGAGCGACGCCGCGUGAGUGAAGAAGGGUUUAGGCUCGUAAAGCUCUUUUCUUGUAGACGAAUGAAGUAUUAGAUACUUAGGGACGGUAUAUGAGGAAUAAGCCACGGCUAACUACGUGCCAGCAGCCGCGGUAAUACGUAGGUGGCGAGCGUUGUCCGGAAUUAUUGGGCGUAAAGGGAGCGCAGGCGGGUCAAUAAGUCACGCUUAAAAGUGCAGCAGUAAUAGUUGUGAUGGGCGUGAAACUAUUGAUCUUGAGAGCAGGAGAGGCAAGCGGAAUUCCCAGUGUAGCGGUGAAAUGCGUAGAUAUUGGGAGGAACACCAGUGGCGAAGGCGGCUUGCUGGACUGCAUCUGACGCUGAGGCUCGAAAGCAGGGGUAGCGAACAGGAUUAGAUACCCUGGUAGUCC
rnacentral:rRNA from 1 species